AUGGCUUCCCAGCCGCCGGCGGCGCCGCCGUCCGCUCCCACCUCGAUAACCGCUCUCGGCGACGACCUCGUCCGCCAGAUCUUCCUCCGCCUCCCCGCCCUCCCGAGCCUCGUCCGGGCCGCCUUCGCCUGCCGCGCUUUCCUCCGCGCCGUCCGCUCGUCCCCGGCCUUCAGCCGCAGCUUCCGCGCGCUCCACGCGCCGCCCCUCCUCGCGCUCUUCCUCGACCCCAACUACGAGGUGCUCCCGGCCUCCCCCUGCCCCUGGCGCCGCUCCGACCCGGACCUCGUCGCCGCCGAUUUCUUCAACACCCGGGUCCCGCGCCACGGCGACGCCCGCACCCCCGGCUGGGAGAUCAGUUCCAAGUCUCCUAGCGGCGACGGCUACUUGUGGCUCGUCAGCUGGGGCGGCAGCGCCGAGCGGAGCCGGGCUGCCGCCCACAACCCGCUGACGCAGGCUCUGGAUCUCAACAUCUAUCGGCCGGGGUUACGCUACAUCGACAUCGACCUUGGGUUCUAUACUAUCCCCUCCGCAUAUCGUCAGGGGCCGUCCCGUGUGGUGUGUAUCUGUCACCACCGCCAAUGGCGGGAGCGUGUCGCUGUCUUCUCGUCGGACACCAUGGAGUGGCAAAUUCUCCCAGCUAGUACGCUGCUGGGGCUGCGUGAAUCUCUCACGGCCGAGAUUGGCACGAUGACGCAUGGACUCAUCUGGUGGCAAAACUGGAUGUAUGACCAAAUUGUGGUGCUCGACACGGCGACUUUUCAGUUCUCUCUAAUUGAUGUGCCGAAGCAAUUGGAGACAGAGUGUGAUGAAUCAACAUAUAAGCUUGGCGAGACCAAAGAUGAGAAGCUCUGCAUCGUGGAUAUAAAGGAUGGCGCACUUCUUUCUUGGUUCCUGACAUCCGACGAUGACAUUGCCGUCAGGAGGUGGAUAAUGUACAAGGAGUUCCCAUUGAACCCGAUUGUUAAGGAGUUCACCGGGUUCUCGAUGGAGGAAGAGGGUUGUAAUGCCAGGGUGGAGCUUGUGGAGGUCAUCGAUGGCUUUGUAUACCUGUCUAUUUUCUAUGUCAAGGACACACAGUCUCGUGAGUUGUACCUAUCAUUAUGCCUGGAAACAUCGGAAAUGAGCGAGCUCUUUCAUGAUGCAUAUCGUGAUAAUGUGGAGGUCCAUCCUUAUGUUAUGGCAUGGCCUCCCUCUUUGUUGCCAAGCAAGGAGGAUUCAGAAACUGAAGUUACUGGAGACAGUGUUGCAGAUGAUGGUCCCGUGGGCACAGAAGAAACUUCCUCUAUCCUUGUCACUGCACUGCAGUCACUCAGCCAAACUCUGAUGGAUGGCAGUGACAGUAACAAAGAAUUAGUGGUGGAGUUAGAUGACUUCUUGCUUGACAGUACUAAUGAAACAGCGAUGGAGUUAGCUGCCUUUUUGCGUCCUACUGAGGAUGACAAGGACUCUCUUAUGAGCAAAAUCAUUACUUUGGAUGCACAAUUGAUGACCGCAAGAGACCGUAUCUUGAGGAUAAGUGUGUGA
rnacentral:rRNA from 1 species